CAGCCGUAAACUAUGCGCGUUAGGUGUAUCGGUGACCACGAGUUACCGAGGUGCCGAAGGGAAACCGUGAAACGUGCCGCCUGGGAAGUACGGUCGCAAGGCUGAAACUUAAAGGAAUUGGCGGGGGAGCACCACAACAGGUGGAGCCUGCGGUUUAAUUGGACUCAACGCCGGGAAGCUCACCGGAUAGGACAGCAGAAUGAUUGCCGGGCUGAAGACCCUGCAUGACUAGCUGAGAGGAGGUGCAGUGGCGUAGACGUCU
rnacentral:rRNA from 1 species